rnacentral:rRNA from 1 species
GUGGGGAAUCUUCCGCAAUGGACGAAAGUCUGACGGAGCAACGCCGCGUGAGUGAUGAAGGUCUUCGGAUUGUAAAGCUCUGUUAAUCGGGACGAAAGAGCCUAGUGUGAAUAAUGCUAGGAAGUGACGGUACCGGAAUAGAAAGCCACGGCUAACUACGUGCCAGCAGCCGCGGUAAUACGUAGGUGGCAAGCGUUGUCCGGAAUUAUUGGGCGUAAAGCGCGCGCAGGCGGAUCUGCCAGUCUGUCUUAAAAGUUCGGGGCUUAACCCCGUGAUGGGAUGGAGACUACAGAUCUAGAGUAUCGGAGAGGAAAGUGGAAUUCCUAGUGUAGCGGUGAAAUGCGUAGAUAUUAGGAGGAACACCAGUGGCGAAAGCGGCUUUCUGGACGACAACUGACGCUGAGGCGCGAAAGCCAGGGGAGCAAACGGGAUUAGAUACCCCUGUAGUCC